rnacentral:rRNA from 1 species
GACGUAGGAUGCAAGCGUUGUCCGGAAUUAUUGGGCGUAAAGAGUUCGUAGGUGGCAUGUUAAGUCUAGUGUUAAAGCCCGAGGCUCAACUUCGGUUCGGCACUGGAUACUGGCAAGCUAGAGUGCGGUAGAGGCAAGGGGAAUUCCUGGUGUAGCGGUGAAAUGCGUAGAUAUCAGGAGGAACACCGGUGGCGUAAGCGCCUUGCUGGGCCGUAACUGACACUGAGGAACGAAAGCCAGGGUAGCAAAU